rnacentral:misc_RNA from 1 species
CUCACACCGAACAAUAGAUUAGACUUAGUAAUAACAUAAUUAAUAAUAAAUAAAAACCCGAGUUGCACCUCCAGCUAGGCUCCAUUAUUAUAAUAUUUUUGUAACGAAAAUAUUAUAUUUAAGAUGCACAAGAAAUAUAAUUUCUAAUUUCACCCAAAAUCAUACAGAUCAUUAAAAUAAGAUCAGCGAAUCAUCUGCAGCAUGAAAAUCACAUUCCACAACUUGAAUUCAUAACUAAAUGAGAGACUUAUGUUAUGUGACAAAGGAACACCUU